CACACUAAGGCAGGCAGGAGGCAAUGAGCCUUCUUCUCCCUCUUACCCCAUCCAGACUGCAGCCCUACAGGGUGGUGCCACCCACACCCAAGUGUGGGCCGGCCCAUCAUUCACAACCAGAACUAUGCUAGACUAAUUAAUGGGGUAAUCCAGUUAUCACGCCUUAAUCCAGUAUCACACACCUAUGAUCCAGCCACUCCCAAAACCCCAACUGACAGUGCAUGAGGCUUAAGGGACAUUUUAGACAUAAACCAUGACAACACCAUCACAUGGAAUCCAUCAAGUUACCACCACUAAACAGAAAGAAGCGCUGUAAAGGUCACCACUUCCCUGGGUUUUUCUUUAACAAUCAUUGUGUUUUAAGGAUAUGGAAAAAAUAAAUCAGUAUGCUCAGAAAGCUGGUCUGUACCUUCUCCAUCACUUCAUCUCCCUCAAAAGGCUCCUGUGCGGCAUUGCUGUUUACUUCCAACCAUCAACAGGGCUCUCCACAUUUGCCCCUGAUUUCUGGGUAAAGAGGACGUUAAUGCGUGCCUUGCACUCAGCAGAGAGGAAAGUUCAGAUGUUAAAUCUUUCAUCCAGCUUCUCCUGUCACUGAAACCUCAGACUGCUUUCCUGUUACCAGCUGCAUCCUCUCCCCCUAUUUCAAAAUAGCCACAGGCGCCAUCCCUCUCCUCUCUCCGCUUGCUGGCUGCUGUGUCCUCUGCCAUCCUGUCCUGCUAUGCCUUUUUUGCCUUCAGACUGACCAUGGACCAGACCCACUGAAACUGUAAGCCAAAAUAAACUUCUUUGACUUUAAAUUUUGUAUUGGGGGGGGGGGUAUUUUGUCCCAGUGAUAGAAAAGCAACUCAUACAGCGUGCAUGUGAUGAAAUUGUUCAUCUCAUGACUCAAAUGGGAGAAGAGGGUGUGGGGAUGACUGGGGCCGGAGACCGAUCACACGUGCAAGCGUAAACCAAGGCCAGUCCUUGAAUGCAGGCACCCAAGGUGAGCCUGUGAAGAAGCUAUCCCAGCUCUGAGAACCUGCAAAGACUGAGACAAUCCGCGCAAACAGGCUGCUGGCAGAGGACUCUGAUGUGACAUCAGCCAGACAAGGGGACGGAUAAAUGGUCAGCGAGCAGUUCCUGUCUUCCCGUCAGGAGAGCGGCCCCCAGCUGAGCUGCGCUCUCCGUCUUCUGAGUCGUGCCUUUAGUUUUCAUCCUUCACCAUCCUCCACCCUGAGAAUUUCUAGAGCUAAAACGUGUUUAAUUAUGGGGAUCAUUUACCGUGGAAGGGAAGUGUUUUGAUUUGUGCAUGGAUUGGUCGCCUGCACAACCAGCCCAGCGGAGUGCAGUGCUGUGGGAGGGAGGGGCAGGGGUGCGGCGGAGAGGGCCCCACAGUCCAGCCCUAGGCAGAUUUACCCUGGAUGCCCCGCUGCCCCCAUGCCCACCCGCCUGCCACCAGCCCACAGCCCCUUGCACCUCACACCCAUCCUAGGGCCUCACGAGCCACAGAGGACGGUCAGGCCAGGAAUGACAGUAGCCGUGGCUGCACAGGAGGCAUCACCCUGGAAGGGGGCACAGCAAAGCCAGCCUGGAGAUGGAGCCCGAAGUGCAGGUGCCAGAUGGCACAGCCAAGGGGCAGCAGUUCUCUCCUCAGGCUGGUGAGCUGCUGCCACCAUGCUGCCAGGGGGACUCAGCCACAGCCCCAAGGAGAGGGGACAGGAGCCACAGCCAGAAGCAGAAGUGGCUAGCAGUAGCCUCGGGUGCCCAAGUGCAGGAUAUGAUUUUUCUUCUGCUCAAAAGACCGAAUUACAGGCUGCUAUGUGAGCCCUGCAAGAUUAUUUCUACCCUCCAAUAACCGCGCUCUUCUCAAACAGCGCCCUCCUUUGUGGUGUCAAGCAUCGCGUUGGAGCUGCCACUGUACACACAGGCCUGAGGGUCUUCCGCAUUUGUCGCACACUUUCCAACUAGCUAUUCGGUUGCACAAUUUCCCCUGUUUUAUCAGUCGCUUAUGCUCCUUUUCCAGCAGCCAGGGCCUCUCGCUCAGGUUAAACGCUGCAGUGGACAGGCAGGUUGCCAGCUCGUUACUGUUUCCCGUCGGGCGCCAUUCAGCAGGCUUCUGCCUCCGAGGCCACCUUCCUUCACAAUGCUGCUACCUUGCACAACAGUCCCUUUUAACUUGGGAACAGGCGUGACAACUCGUUAAACAAUGUCGCUCAUGCAGCACACAUCUUCCCUCCUCCCUAUAAAGGGUUAACCCCGUCAUCUCUCAGGUGGAUGCUACUCACUCACGGUCCUGAGUUCGGCCCUUUAUGUUGCACCCACAUUUCAGUAGCUGCUUCCUGAGGAUGCGUUUCUGCUGCUGCUCACAGUGGUGAAGCAGCUAAGCACGCCAUUGGUCAUUGCUUGGACGCCUGUCGUACCCCUGGCUGCCUGCAGGCACUUCAGACUGGCAGUGGCCCAGCUUAUGGAAGUGCUGCCUUCCAAGCAUUCUGCACAGCUUUCCAUGUUUCCCUUUCCGUGGGAAUGCCCAGCAAUCCGCUAGGUUAAGGGAUUGCUGAGCGUGCUCACCAUAUGCCCCACAUUCAGCUACAAAAGCAAAAGGAGAACCCUCACAAUGGACCCUCAAAACCAUAUACCAUUAACUUUUAAGUCCUGCUGAGAUAAAACCACAGCAAUGGAAGGACAAUUCAGUCACGUAAAGGCAAAGAAGCUACGAAGCGUCCUUCAGCAAGAUCUUCAUCCUGCACAAUGGAGAGACCCAUCCGAAUGCUAAUAUGGGGCUCACGGUAUGCUCGUGUCUUUCCAGAGAACACUGAACGGCCUGUCUGGGUGCCAGACCACGCUGAGCAGCUGGGUCAUGGGCCCAGACCCAGAGGAGUUGAUUCCACCUUUCUAAAAGUUGAUGCUCAGUCCUGGGGCAGGGAUGCCUCAGAGACUGCACCACGGCGACAGACAAGAUGGGGCUGUACCUGACUGGGGACCAAUUAAAGACACUGGCCCAGGGUGCCCAGGAGACGGUCACCAGAAACAGGAGUCAAAGGUCUGAGGAGGUGAUAGAGCACCUGGAGAUAACUGAUCUGGAAUCUAUGCAAAAGAAAGGGACACAAAAGUUAUCAGCACUCUUAAAAUGAAAUACAAAAAUUAUAUUAUUUAUAGAUAAAAGGUUUUCUUUCAAAUUCUUCUUAUAAGAGAUCUCUGCCAACUGACCUACAAAAAUUCCGACCAGUCUGUUUAUGAUUACAAACUUCUAAAAUUGUAAAAGAGUUAUUAUAAUUCCAUUUGGCCAAAAAUAUAUUUGAGUGCACCGUAAUAUUGUAAGUGGAUUGUUUGGUGUUAGUUUUUGUUUGUCCUAUCUGUGAACAUCUGUUUCUUAUUUGAGUUCAAUAAUUUUUUCUCUUUUUUUUUUUCUUUUGUACUUUCAGAUCAUCUGCUUAGAAUUUAACUCGGGUUGUAGAUUUAAAAAUCAUAUUUCCACCUGGGUCGCCAAAUGGUUUUCUCUAAGGUCAUCAGAAAUUUGUUAAAGAGAUUUGACUACUGGAACAUCCACGGUUGGUGGGAAUUUCAGCGUGUGAUAUUCAGAAAAGGCUCACACUGCCUGAGAAGGGCGCACGCUGUCUGCGAAGAUGUGUAAGGAGAGCGGCUGGAGAGAUCAGGAGCGGCUGUUAGGAUUCCUGAAAGCUCAGGAGAAUCAAAAGUGUCUCACGCUGUGGGAAAGAAAAGCCCGACCAUCCCAGUCACGUACCUGUUCCCGAGGGAAGGAGGAGAUGGGUCUCAGGCAGCCAGCACAGGACCUGCAGUGUCCGCAGCGUGUCCCUCUCUGACCCCCUCUCACCGACUGAUGAUCCCCCACAGCCUGAGGGCAUCUUGGCCAUAGAGAGAAGACUUGACAUCUGAGAGCCCUCGGUCAGCCAGGUCAUCAGGAGGACAGAAGGAACGGAAUUCCAGGCCCCUCUAUGCAGUGGCUCUUCUGACAUUUCCAAAUGGAUUUCUGUAAGUACUAGGCACUCCCCACGGCCAAACGGGGCUCUUGUUUCCUUUCCCCACCAAGUCAUAGAAUUUUCCCUCUCAUCUUCUCCUGCUUCCCUUUCCUCCUCCCCAACAUUCCAACACCCCCACCCCCACCCCCACCCCCACCACCCCCAGCCCUGUACCUCAGCCUCACCUUACAUCACCAUUACCCAUACCCCUGUCACCCCUCACCUCUGCUACCCCUUACCUAACAACUUCCUCGGGCAAAAUUCCAGCUCCUAGGCAGCAUAGGCACCUGCCCAGCAAGUGUGAGGUCAUGAGUUCCAUCCCCGGUACCAAAAACAAAAACAAACAAAAAAACCCCAUCUCCUUUGUAAAACCUGUUCUCUUUCCUCAACUCAUAGCAAAUAGCACACUGUUGCGUGUGGACAUGCCUCUGUGUGUGUGUGUGUGUGUGUGUGUGUGUGUGCACGCGCGCACAUAUCAACUAAGACUGUGGCCAACCUAACCUGGUGGCUACCUUGUUAGAACCUGGGUGCUGAGCCUGGCAGUGUGAGGGGAGGGUAGUUAGAUGCAGAAUGACAGAGAUUCACAAGUACCUUGUAGAUAGGAUGUAGG